rnacentral:rRNA from 1 species
CCCCAUAAUAAGUUUUUAAGGCAUCUUAGAAAUUUUAAAGCUUUGGUGGAUACGGAUUGGCUCGCGUGACAUUAGCUAGAUGGUAGGGUAACGGCCUACCAUGGCUACGAUGUCUAGGGGUUCUGAGAGGAAGAUCCCCCACACUGGAACUGAGACACGGUCCAGACUCCUACGGGAGGCAGCAGUGAGGAAUAUUGGACAAUGGAUGGAAAUCUGAUCCAGCCAUGCCGCGUGCAGGAAGACGGCCCUAUGGGUUGUAAACUGCUUUUAUACGGGAGCAAUAAGGACUAUGCGUAGUUUGAUGAGAGUACCGUAUGAAUAAGCACCGGCUAACUCCGUGCCAGCAGCCGCGGUAAUACGGAGGGUGCAAGCGUUAUCCGGAUUUAUUGGGUUUAAAGGGUGCGUAGGCGGUUUCUUAAGUCAGCGGUGAAAGUUUUCAGCUUAACUGGAAAAAUGCCGUUGAUACUGAUAAGCUGGAAU